rfam:Trichosporon asahii var. asahii CBS 8904 unplaced genomic scaffold scaffold00035, whole genome shotgun sequence.
CUCACCAUAGCUCAGUUGGUAGAGCGUCGGACUGUAACUGAAAACUCCCAUCCUUUCCUCGCCGCCCGAACGGGCGCGCAAUCCGCAGGUCCUGUGUUCGACUCACAGUGGUGAGA